rnacentral:rRNA from 1 species
AGCGAACGCUGGCGGCAGGCUUAACACAUGCAAGUCGAGCGGGCCCUUCGGGGUCAGCGGCAGACGGGUGAGUAACACGUGGGAACGUACCCUUUGGUUCGGAAUAACGCUGGGAAACUAGCGCUAAUACCGGAUACGCCCUUUUGGGGAAAGGCUUGCUGCCGAAGGAUCGGCCCGCGUCUGAUUAGCUAGUUGGUGGGGUAAUGGCCUACCAAGGCGACGAUCAGUAGCUGGUCUGAGAGGAUGAUCAGCCACACUGGGACUGAGACACGGCCCAGACUCCUACGGGAGGCAGCAGUGGGGAAUAUUGGACAAUGGGGGCAAGCCUGAUCCAGCCAUGCCGCGUGAGUGAUGAAGGCCUUAGGGUUGUAAAGCUCUUUUGUCCGGGACGAUAAUGACGGUACCGGAAGAAUAAGCCCCGGCUAACUUCGUG